AAAAAAAAAGAACAACAUACCUAAUGAAAUGGAGGGCAAGGACUCUUCUGACCAGCUCAUUCAGUCCUCCAAGGGGCCUACAUAAGACCAUGGAAUGUGGCUUUCUCAACUCAUACUCUUUGGGAAUUAAGACUAUGGCAUAGUGACCGAUAUCUAUGCUGAUUGGUUGGUGUUCACAUCAAAUGAUCAGGGAAAUAGAAAAAUAGUUCUGUUGUAAGAGAAUAAACUCUCCUUAACAAUGAACAUCUCAUGUGGAGGGAGAAGACAGCUGAAUAAAAGCCUGUGGUAUCCUGUAAAGAUGAAGCUCUUGAUCAGAAAGAACAGACAUGGAGGACACCCCGGGAGGAAGAACUGGAGCAGAGGUGGAAGAAAUGGCACUUGUCCUGCGGGCCACUUGACAUUUCAUUCCGAGAAGCAUGUGUUGGGAUCCUUAAUUACAGAUGAGAAAUGGGGCCCAGAGUGCUUAAAGGGCUUUUCAGCUGAGUGGUGGAAUCAAGCCUUGAAACCAGUGGCAACACCAAAGUCCACUCCAUUUCCGCAGACUGUCGCUCUGUUCUCCAUGUCACUCCCAUCCUCCUCCUCCUCCCUGCAGAACCAUUCAGGACUCAGCCAGGCUGUUUCAGUGGGAACCAGAGACACUUGCCUCUUAGCUAGUUUUGCUGUAUUGAUUCAAUUGAGAUUUGCCUCCCAUUUGCCCCAAGUAUAUAGAGACUGUCCUCCCUCACCUACUGUGUUCUCUUGUUCCCUGCUCUAGAUGACCCUUGUACCGAAAGCCUCUCAUCCAAAACUAAAAAUUAUUGUCCAUUUAGAGGCAAAAAAAAAAAAAAAAAGCAUUUGUCACUGAUUCAGUUGCCAAAAUGGAAUUGACUCCUCUUGUCCAUCAGGAAUUAGGAGAAGGUGGGUGUUUGUUAGCAACUUUGGGAGUUCCCACGUUUAUCAUGGGGUAUCCCAGGCUUAUCUUAUCCUGAGCAAGACUAGUAGAUUUCUACUAUCUGCCAUCAAAAUCUUAAGAGUUUAUAGAGAAUCCUUAAUGGGAUUCAGUCACAUACAUAGUCCAGAUGGUCUCAGUAACGCAUGAUUUUCUCAAGGCUUCAUCCUUGAAGUGAUUCCUAGUAUAGAAAUAGUGGGUGAAAAUGUACAUUCUAAGGACAAGAGAGUGGGGAAGGAGCCUCUGAUUGUCCGGGCCCAUUUUAUGGGUCAGCUGGUGGUCAUGUCUUCUCAAUGACUUCCUUCAACGGGAGUAGAGUCCAGAAGAUAUAAGGAACUGACUAAAACACAGUGAAGAAAGCCCACGAUACUCUGAAUAUCCUUAGAAGAAAAGAAAGUCCAGUUGUUUAUUCAGGGAGCUGUGGAUUAGGUACUACAAGGUCAGAUGGAGCAACAGAGCUGAAAUGAAUAAGCACAGCUCCCUUGAAUUCAACUUUACCAAGCAAAUCAUUAGAAGAGGACAAAAACCAAGCAGCAAUAAUACCCACACCAGUGAGUGUUCCUGGUCACAAAAAAAAAAAAAAAAAGAAAGAAAGAAAGAAAGAAACCAGCUCUAACUAAAUGGAAUUUAUUGAGAGGCCACUGGACACUGGUCUCCAGGACAUCAGUCCCUAUUGUCACCAGCAUCCUCAUCCUUUGACACUCUGCUCUUGACUCUCAACUUCACCCCAGCUGCUCUAUUUCCUGCUGCUGAGUGAAGAAGGUAACAACCUAUCUCAAGAAAGUCAGAGGUCCCCUCUGUCCCCACUCGGCCCCAUGCUUCUGUGUAAUUCUUCCUCCGUACACCAUCCUUCCACUCUCAGCACACAUACCCACGUGUACUGGCAGAGCAGGCCUGAGACCCUCACCAGGGAGUCAG